CAAGGACAUGUAGUGACAUACAAAAGCCGACCGAAUUCACUUCGAGCUGACCCACACUACAAGAAACGUCAAAGGAUCCUCCAGGCAGAAGGAAACUGAUACCAGAUAAAAAUCCACAUCCACACAAGGAAAUGAGCGUCAGAAAUGGAACUGCCUCUCGCUCU